ensembl:lncRNA
GGUUGGUCAUUAAAUAACAUGUAAAACUAAAUCCAGUGAUCUGCGAGUAAGAAAAACUAUCAUCGAAAUGAAGUAGAGAAACAGAAGUAGCAAAACAUUUGAACGCAAUGUGAUCACGUGAUCUACCGGAAUGGGUGCAGCUCAGCGACUCUCGAGUCUCGAAAUAGCACACACACACACAGAGAGAGACGCCCAGUCGCAGGAUCUACAGUUCAGUCGCUUUUCGGUGGCUUACAACUGAAGUUUAAUCAAACUUAUUAUUAAACUUCAGUUGUUUGCUGUGAUUGUCGUUAUCACACUCACUGAGCUGAACAACACGAAAUGAGAGCGAACAUGGUGCCCUUCCUGGCUUUGCUGUUUCUCUGUCAACGGAUUUCUGCCACCGAAGAUCUGAAAAUUAUUACAGCUGAGUCUGGACAAAAGAAGGUCACUCUGACAUGUCGAGCUCCAAACAACAACAAGAACCUGAUAGGUGUGGAGUGGAGUAGAGCUGACCUGAAAGAAGAAUAUGUCCUCUUGUAUCGGGAUGAGCAGUUUGUCCCAGAUUACCAGCAUCCAUCUUUUAAGAACCGUGUGGAUCUGAAUGACACACAGAUGAAGGAUGGAGACGUGUCUUUGAUUCUGAAGGAUGUGAUUACUGAUGAUGAUGGAAUAUACGUGUGUCGUGUCCUCAUCCCAGGAACAAAGCGCGGAAAGAGAGCUGCUGAAACUGUCAGGAGCAUCAGACUGAUUGUUGAUCCUCCAGGUCAGACAGGAGGAGACACAGAGGAUGGAGGGAAGGAGGAUGGAGGGAAGGAGGAUGGAUCUGUUGGACUAAUAGUUGACUAUGAGGGCUUCAGUCCACAGACGGAGACAUUAGCAGCAG